rnacentral:rRNA from 1 species
AGUGAACGCUGGCGGUAGGCCUAACACAUGCAAGUCGAACGGCAGCACAGUAAGAGCUUGCUCUUACGGGUGGCGAGUGGCGGACGGGUGAGGAAUACAUCGGAAUCUACUUUUUCGUGGGGGAUAACGUAGGGAAACUUACGCUAAUACCGCAUACGACCUACGGGUGAAAGCAGGGGAUCUUCGGACCUUGCGCGAUUGAAUGAGCCGAUGUCGGAUUAGCUAGUUGGCGGGGUAAGGCCCACCAAGGCGACGAUCCGUAGCUGGUCUGAGAGGAUGAUCAGCCACACUGGAACUGAGACACGGUCCAGACUCCUACGGGAGGCAGCAGUGGGGAAUAUUGGACAAUGGGCGCAAGCCUGAUCCAGCCAUACCGCGUGGGUGAAGAAGGCCUUCGGGUUGUAAAGCCCUUUUGUUGGGAAAGAAAGCAGCAGGUUAAUACCCCGCUGUUCUGACGGUACCCAAAGAAUAAGCACCGGCUAACUUCGUG